rnacentral:rRNA from 1 species
GUGGGGAAUAUUGGACAAUGGGCGAAAGCCUGAUCCAGCCAUGCCGCGUGUGUGAAGAAGGUCUUCGGAUUGUAAAGCACUUUAAGUUGGGAGGAAGGGCAGUAAGUUAAUACCUUGCUGUUUUGACGUUACCGACAGAAUAAGCACCGGCUAACUUCGUGCCAGCAGCCGCGGUAAUACGAAGGGUGCAAGCGUUAAUCGGAAUUACUGGGCGUAAAGCGCGCGUAGGUGGUUUUGUAAGUUGGAGGUGAAAUCCCCGGGCUCAACCUGGGAACUGCCUCCAAAACUGCAUGACUAGAGUACGGUAGAGGGUAGUGGAAUUUCCUGUGUAGCGGUGAAAUGCGUAGAUAGAGGAAGGAACACCAGUGGCGAAGGCGACUACCUGGACUGAUACUGACACUGAGGUGCGAAAGCGUGGGGAGCAAACAGGAUUAGAAACCCCUGUAGUCC